rnacentral:lncRNA from 1 species
AUGGAAGGACUUUGUUUGACCCAGCUGCCAAUCUCCCCUGAAACCGUGCGCCAGACUAAACACUCACACUAUUUUAACUCAAAUCAGGCUACAGCAGCUGUUUGCUUUCCGGCUCUGAGCUCUGCACCCACCAUGGCCUCUGCAGUUCACCCCGCGCGUUCUGCUAGCUGCCUGGCUGAAAUCUGUUCCGGGUUGGGAUUUGUCACUGGAGAGCGAAUUUUAACCCUAUUCCUCGUGAGGGAAAGAGAGAGAGCACAAACAGGAAGAGCAGGAGAGGGAGAACUGAUGCAGAACUCGAACCCAGGACCCUGA